ensembl:lncRNA
GGUAGACCAAGAGUGAAACAAAUUUUGGAGAAGUCUUUUGGAAGAUUUUGUUUUAGGGAAAUAACUGCCACUGUUGAUCAGAACUUUUCGAAGUUAUUAUCAGUCUCCUAGUCACAAAUUACCAGACAAUAUAUCAGCCUGUUCAAUCUGUCAUAAUCUGAUGAUAUUUAGUCAAUGUUUUACUCAGUAUUUUAAUACCUGAGCAUGCCCUAGAUCACAGGAUAAUGUCCUGCCUUCACAGGGUCUGGUAGCGUUUUCUUAUAUAAUGAGUAAAUAAAAAAGCCCCACACGCUUCACCCUCUGUGAUUUAAUGAUUUAAGGGCAGGUGCAUUUGCUAUGCAAAGAUCCUGCCUGGCCUGCAUGUGCUUUCAUGCCACAGCCUUGUGUGAAGCUGGUGGGAAGAGAGGAGACGUCCAGAGGUCCCCGAGUGCCACCUCCUGCUCACAGCAGCUCCUCGGAGCCAGCACCAGCCCUGAUUCGUGCUCUGCAGCAUACAGGAUUCCUGCUUGUAGCAGCAGAUGAAGGGAUUGAAGUGGGAAGGCUCAGCAUCCUUCUUGAGAGUACUUGUCUAGUUGUUUACAAUUGUUGUAAAAUAGCAUUUCCUCCUCCGCUGUCUUUUUAAGCUGUCUGAUUUUUCAGCUUUUAACAGGAACCUUUCUCAUAAACCCUCACAGUGUGACCUUACAACCCAAGACUGUGGAGGAUGUGUUCUCGUUUCAGAAGUACAGUGAAGUUCGGUGGUAUCUCUCCCUGAAUGACACACCCCCGGAAUCCUCCUCUGAUUUCUCUCAGAUGCUGUCAGUCUGCCUCUGCUAAGCGAGAUCAAUUCCCAAAUCCAUCCUCGAAGAGCACUGCUGAGAUGCUUCCUUCGGCUCAUCACUACUUGCUCUUUUUGCACACCAUCGAGCCUUCUGAACUCCAUUGCUGGAGCCUUGAUCCUACAGAGCCUCAGGAAGGACACCAGGGCACACGCUGUAUCUGGGGAAUCUGCACAGGGAGGUCUGAAGACAGCACCAGGAGCUGCCGUGCUCAGAGCAGCCUCUUGCAGGACUGCGAACACCCAGCACAAGUCCUCCCCAUGCCCAGGACACCAACUGCAGCCGGAGCGGUGAGGAUUCUCGUGUCCAGCCCACCUGCAGCUGGCACUGGUGUCCCCAUGCCCCAGACUCCAGCAGGAGCCCUGCCCAGCUGCCCAGCAUCAAGUCGUCCCAUGCCAGAGGGCUCGCAGCUGGCUCUUGUGAGCCACCUCCCUGAGCACACUGCAGCCUCUUUAAGUAGUCUGCGGUGGCAGGGUGAGCUGGUUUGUGAAAUAUUUUAAUAGCAGGACGACUUGGCAAACCUUCUGUGCUGCUCCGCUGAUGACACAGUGCCAGACUGCAAAAAUGCCGCAAAAAUGCAGUGUAAUCAAUAGAGUAAGACAAAAGAGCUAUCAGUGCUUUAUAUUUACUUAAUUAAAUACUAUCUGAUGCUCGACCUCUAAAUCUUUUGGACUAAAUUAGGUUUAAUAUCUAAUUAUCAGUCACGUGAAUGGUAUUGAUUUAAAAUCAUGAUGUUUAAGUGGUCUGAUUUUCAGAUAUAUUAAAAAAAACAAUUAAAGCUUUCAUUAUUGCAUAUAGGAUGGGCACUGGAGAAGUUUUCAGGAAAACAAACUGUUUAGACUGAAUGCUAUAAAGCUGGAGGGUUUUGUUAAGACAAUUUUCUUUCGCUGCCUCUCUUGUAGUACUCUGAUGCAUUUUUUUUCCCUUAAUUUAUUAAAGGCACUGGUGGAGCACAAGGAAUACUGAUGAACACAUGUCCAGUGAGACGGGCAAGGUAGGUCCUCCAAGCCCCAGGUCCCUGCUAAUGGCUAGGCACUUCCUAAAGAAGCUGCAAGCUUUAAAAGCCAUAUACUAUCAGCCCCAUAAUAUCGGCUACAGUGGUUUUUUCCUGUCUCCCCCUGCCAGAUAUUGAAGGAACUUGAGCUGCGAGGCUGGUGCAGACAGAGCCAGCUGGCUCUUAGUCCUCCCUUUAAAAGUCAGCUUUCAAUGGCCAUUAGAACAAAUUGAGAAGACGUGUGUAAUGGCUUUGGCAGGGCUCGAUGCAGAAAGAAGGCUGGAUAACGUAUGAACAAUGGGAGGUAAGUUUGUGGAAUUCUGUCUUUGCAAACCCUGUGAAAGCCCCUUUCCACUUUGCAGAGAGAGAGGCUUUAAAGUUGGAAAUUGUUAGAAUACAGCUGCCUUGCCAUGCUAUUAUUUAACAACUUUAUAAUCUAAUACAUGCGUUGUCCUUGGUUCUCUGUGCUGCUUACUGUGGGAUAUUGUAGGGAUGUAUUUGUAGGU